CUAGUGUGAGAUGAAUGCUACCCGAGCCAAUAACGAUAACUGCCAGACGAAAAUACAGAUCUCUGGCAGUAUUUCCAUAGUCCCUCGAAUUCCUUAUGGUACCUCUCUUUAUACUACCCGUCCAAGCUAAAUUGACAUAUGAGGUGGUGGCGUAAGGGAACGACAGCACUUGUUAAUGCCUGUACUGCAGCUCCUAUCAGCCACCGCUCGGACAUUAACUUUAUUUAAUUGUUUAUCUAAAAGUAACGAAGACGCACGAUAUAGUAUACAGUUCUUAUCAACAGAAAGCGCGCAGUCUCACAGUUAUUCCCAUGGCCUAUAGAACGCCUUCCAAAUGGUCUACCCUCUCCUUAGUUCCUAGCCAGAUCUCCGGGAAAGCGUAGUACAAUCUUCGGUCAACAGCUGGCGCGAGUUACUGUUGACAUUAGACAGCAAUUGAAAUAACUGCCUAUAUCAGAGGAACGGUUAUCACAGUAACCGUUACGUCUCAGUAAUCGGUUAUUUGUAUCAGUUACGUUAUUUUUUGCCACCUCUAUGCAUCAACGAGAGUAGUUAAGUGGGAACGUUGAAAGAGCGUGUGGUUGAUUGGUGGUUUGUUGUGGAGCGAAGGAUAUUUGUUGUUCAUUAUUUUUAUUAAAAGUUGGUGACGUAGUGACACGCUCUGUAGAAUGAUACGGAUUCGAGGACCAGAGGAAUUAACUGCAGAAGAAAAGAAGAAAGCGAAAGAAGGUGUAAUAGGGAACAUUACAACGUUUUUCCUUUUAAUUGCAUUAAUCAGAGCAGUUCCAUACGCACUGAAACAGUUUUGAUGACUGGAAAAUCAUGAGGAAACUGUGUUUAAAAACAUGUGUCCUGUCGAACAAUCCACGCCUUUUGUGGUGUGGAAACUUUUGUAAAAUUUUU